ACAGCCAUAUCAUGUUAAAAAUCGGUUCCCGUGCGACCAGCGAAUUUAAGCAACGUUUAGCUUGGUUAGUACAUAGAUGGGUGACCGCCUGGGAAUAUUAGGUGAU